GAUGAACGCUAGCGGCAGGCUUAAUACAUGCAAGUCGAGGGGUAGCAAGAUUGUAGCAAUACAAUUGUUGACGACCGGCAAACGGGUGCGGAACACGUACACAACCUUCCUACAAGUGGGGAAUAGCCCAGAGAAAUUUGGAUUAAUACCCCGUAACAUAGCGAUGUGGCAUCACAUUGCUAUUAUAGCUUCGGCGCUUGUUGAUGGGUGUGCGGCUGAUUAGAUAGUUGGCGGGGUAACGGCCCACCAAGUCUACGAUCAGUAGCUGAUGUGAGAGCAUGAUCGGCCACACGGGCACUGAGACACGGGCCCGACUCCUACGGGAGGCAGCAGUAGGGAAUUUUCGGCAAUGGGCGCAAGCCUGACCGAGCAACGCCGCGUGAGUGAUUAAGGCCUUCGGGUUGUAAAGCUCUGUUGUAAGGGAAGAACAUUCAGGAUAGGAAAUGAUCUUGAACCGACGGUACCUUACCAGAAAGCCACGGCUAACUACGUGCCAGCAGCCGCGGUAACAC
rnacentral:rRNA from 1 species